rnacentral:rRNA from 1 species
UACGUAGGGGCCUAGCGUUGUCCGGAUUUAUUGGGCGUAAAGAGCUCGUAGGCGGUUCGGUAAGUCAGGUGUGAAAUCUCCACGCUCAACGUGGAGGCGCCACCUGAAACUGCCGUGACUCGAGUCCGGAAGAGGCGAGUGGAAUUCCUGGUGUAGCGGUGAAAUGCGCAGAUAUCAGGAGGAACACCAAUGGCGAAGGCAGCUCGCUGGGACGUGACUGACGCUGAGACGCGAAAGCGUGGGGAGCAAACAGG